AUGGACUUCAGGGCAGGACUGCUGCUUUUAACUGUGUUCUUGGCAGGUGUUGAUAGUCAGACUAUAACACAGUCUGAAUCAGUGGUUAAAAGGCCAGCAGAAUCCCACAGGCUGACCUGUACAGGCUCCAACAUUGAUUUUAGCAGCAGCUGGAUGGCCUGGAUCAGACAGGCUCCUGGAAAAGGACUGGAGUGGAUUGCAUUCAUCGAAGAUGACAGUGAUAGAAUCUUUUAUUCUCAGUCAGUUCAGGGCAGGUUUACCAUCUCCAGAGACAACAGCAAAGAGCAGCUGUAUCUGCAGAUGAACAGCCUGAAGACUGAAGACACUGCUGUUUAUUAUUGUGCUCGACGAGCACAGUGA